rnacentral:lncRNA from 1 species
UUUUUUUUCUUUUGUCACAUUUAUUUCUAACAAUAUUUGACCAAUACCAGAUUUAACAAAACCAAAGAUGUAACAUUAUAUCUAAUGUUUGGUGCAAAAGAUCUAGUCUAUUUCUACCUGAAUUGAAAGGUAAAGUACACUGUUCAUGUCAAGCAAGGCUGAGAUACAACCCCUCAGGAAGCACAAGCAGACUCCUGGUAUUUGUUUAGAGCUCUGAUAAGCACACCUUCUGCCCUUACUUUGCUUUUCUGCUUCUCUAUUUUAUUUUAUUUUUUUCUGCUUCUCUAUUUUAAAGGUCACACAAGUUUUGACUCAAAAUGGUUCAUCUUAUUUCUCAUUUUGGACAUUCAAGUGUGUCUUCCAAGAAUCAAUGUAUACUGCCCCCAUGGAUAAUCCUUGGGCACACACAGACAUCUGGUACUCCUAUGUACUGUGUGGCUCAGUCCAUGGCCAUGGAAACGUUUUGCAGGGUACCAUAGGCAAAAGUCAUCUCCACCUUCACAACUAACAUUUCAAUUAACAAAAGCAAGUUUGGUAUCUUUUGAAUCAUGACUUAUGGGUCUAGGAUUGAGGUUUAUAGCACCCAUUUACCAUAAAAAAAUAAAUAUGAUCAAUUUGACAUAAAACAAAAAGAGAAACUAGAAAAUUCAGAUCUAUUAAAGCACUUCAGAGAAUUCCAUGACAAGAAGUAAUAGGGAACAUAUUCAACAGACAAAAUAAAUGAAAUAAUUAAUUAAAGAAAUUUAUGGGGAAAUGAUGCAAGGAAUGAUAGUAUGCUCAACCACAUUAGAUCUAGAUUAAAGGGAUCAGAUAAAACCCCCAAUCAGAGGACCUAACUUGUCCUAAUACCCAUUUUAGAUAAAGAAACGGCCUGGUAAUUAAACUGAGUUUUUAUUCCAAGAUUUAUUUAUCAGAUACAGUAAUCAUACCCAGGAAGUUACUUGGAUAAAUGCAGGGAACCGUUGUGGCCAUUCUAAGCAAAUGGCACCCACUACUUAUUAAAUUUCUAUCUCAUCUCACAAAAAGCAAUGGGAUGUCCUGUUGCAAGCACAGUACUUUCUUGGGUCUCACUGGAAUACAUUGCACCAGUGAUGAAGAACAUAUAUGUAACCUAAAGGGCCAGAAUCAGCUGAUUUGUCAGGUAGGAGACAAAUACUUGAUAAUCACCUAACCAAACUGAAUCUACAGAAGGACAUGCUUUCCUACUGGGUACUGGCUAUGCAGACUGUCCACAAUGUCUGAGGGUAUCAUUUUGUCAUAACAUGAUGUCAAAUGAGUGAUUAGAACAGUCUCCAUUGCUACAUAGGUAGAGCCCACUCACAUGUGGCAGCCACUUCCUCCUGGAUUGUAUUUAAACUCUCUUUAGAUUGUACUUUCCCCAUCCAUCUUCUUAUCCUUGGGUUUUUCAUAGCAGUGAGUUCUUGCCAGUCAGGAGCAAAGUUUUGAAUUGAAUGUCAUGGCCAUAAAAUCAAACAAAACCAUUCACACUACCAGAACAUUAAGAAAGAAAAAUAUAUUAAGAUUAUAGCUUACCCUCAGAGGGUUGACAUAUUUAAGUCAAUACUUUAUCACUAUAGUUAAUUUUAAGACAAGAAAUGGAAGGAAAGAAAAUAUUAGAGGGAUCCCUGGGUGGCGCAGCGGUUUGGCGCCUGCCUUUGGCCCAGGGGCGAUCCUGGAGACCCGGGAUGGAAUCCCACAUCGGGCUCCCGGUGCAUGGAGCCUGCUUCUCCCUCUGCUGUGUCUCUGCCUCUCUCUCUCUCUGUGACUAUCAUAAAUAAAUAAAAAUUAAAAAAAUUAAAAAAAAGAAAAUAUUAGGAUAUAUAGAUAAUCACAAAAAGCAACUAGAAUUAAUGUGCGGUUGCUUCAGUCUCUUUUCUUCCAGAGCUCUUACAAAAUUUGCUGAUUAGAUGCUCUUAAAUUUAGUGUCUGUUUUCUUUAGGCAUUUAGUGAAAAAAAAAAAAAAAAAAGCAAAACUUAGAUAACCAAGAAUCAAGCAGUAGGAUGAAAAUGAGGAAAAUUGAUCAAGACCAGUUAGCCUAUAAAUGAGAUAAUUUUCCAUUAAAUAAAUAUACACUGUGAUACUUCAUCUUCUUGUUAACACUAAAAUACCAGUAACAUGCCAGUCUGGGGGAAAAGUAGCUAUAAAUAAAAUCUUUUAUGGUAACCCUUUCUUUGGUUAAUCAUUACUUUAUAAAAAUUAAUCCAAGGAUAUUCCUUAAGUAUCACUUUGUUUUAUGUUUGUUUCUAUAGAACUCUUCCUUUUAGAACUUUUACUUUGGAUUUAGAUGAAGACGUUGAUGUCAGGCUAAUGCAUACAUUUUUUACCUUUGACACAAAAUUGGAGGAAUAGCAAAUUCAUCAAUGGGAAAAUUAUCCAAGUCCAUGUCUACUGGAAUGAGUCCUACAUAAAAGAAAUGCAUUGAACAGGAAUCAUGGUAAGUGGCUCUAUGAGGCCCCUAAACCCUAAUGCACAGAAGGGCUGGAGAGAAGAGUAACAAGUCGCACAUGGGAGAAUGUGGGAUGUAGUCAGCUGCAAUUCUAGGUCCACAUUGUGAUGUGGCCAUAGUGCUAAUGUGAUUAUGGGGUAUACAGAGAAAAAUAUUGCAGUCAGAAGAGGAAACUUGGAAGAACCUAUUCUAUAGCACUCAUCCUGGAUUAGUCCACCCCAGGAACAUGGUGCUCACCUACAGAUGGCCUAUUUUAAGCAGUAUUUAAGGACCAUAGAUAAGCUUAAGGGGCAGAUGGGAAGAGGGUAUAAAUUGGAGAGUUUGUGUUUUCAAUCUGAAAAGGUGAAAGUGAGGGGGCAAACUAGUAGUAACUCAAACAUUGAAGGAUCAGCACAUGGAAAAUUGAUGAGGUGAUUUAUGUAUGAAUCCAUAAGAAAGAAUGAUGCCCCAAAGUAGAAGUUCCAGGAAGGCAGAUUGAAGCUUGAGUGCAGAAGUUUCACUUAUUAACUUAAACCCAAUGCCAUUGGGUUUUCAUCCUCCUGGGUGAGGAUGGGCAUCUUAUCAAAUGUGAUUCAAACGUCAUAUGAAAGUUUGAGUUAGAUGACCAUUAAAUCUCUUUCAACUCUAAAAUUUGAUAACUCUUUUAUCAGUUUCUAAAAGGUGAUUAUUAUUAUGAUUACACCUCAUACUUACUGCUAUUUUAUGUGAAUUUACCUAUUUUUCUCAAAACAACUCCCAGAAAAGGGAUCUUAAGUUUAGUACCUACGCAAUGUUAAUAACUUUAUGAGAUCAUGACUUUUCCCAAAGACUAGCCACUAAAAGGGUGCUCCAGAAAUCAAAUUUUGAAAAUUCAGUUUUAAAACUCAUGCCACAUAGGCUUUAAAAAGAAAUACACAAUGGGGGAUGCCUGGGUGGCUUCAGCGGUUGAGCCUUUGGCUCAGCAUGUGAUCUCAGGAUCCGGGAUUGAGUCCUGCAUCAGGGUUCCUGUGAGUAGCCUUCUUCUCUCUCUGCCUAUGUAUUUGCCUCUCUCUCUGUAUCUCUCAUGAAUAAAUAAAUAAAAUCUUAAAAAAAAGCCCACAAUGCACAGGGGUACCUGGGGGCCUCAGUUGAUUAAGCAUCUGCCUUCGUCUCAGAUCACAAUCUCAGGGUCCUGGGACUUAGCCCCAAGUUGGGCUCUCUGCUCAACAAGGAAUCUGCUUCUUGUUCUCUCUCAAAUUAAUAAAUAUAAUCUUAAAAAUAAUAUGAAAUGGGUAUUACCAUAAACAGGAUAAUUUAAUUCAUAUUAACAGAAUUAAUAUGAAGCAUUGACAUUUGAACUAUUUGCCUAUUGUAUUUUUAUUACCGAACUUACUAUUGAUUCCAUUUUGAGAAUUAUGAAGCUUGACUGAAGCAGAUAAAAACUCCUAUUUUGAGGUUCUGGUCUACGGGUGACAUACAGGCCAUACAGCUAGUUAAAAAUACAGUUUCAGGCUUUCCUUUGGACCUGCUGAAUCUGAAUCUCCAUUUAACAAAAUCCUAGGAUGAUUCAUAUGAAAUAAAGUUGGAAAAAAAAAGUUGGAGAAGCAAUGAUUUAUUAUACACUCAUCAAAAACCUUAGAAGUACCCUUCAUUAAAAUAAUAACUCUGAAACUGUAGUUUACCAAAACUGUCUAAUUUAAGUAUGGAAAUACACAAAGCUGAUGAUUUCCUAAACUUAGAAAAUAAAUGUGCUGGCUGUGCAAUUCAGUUGUCACAUGAAUUGGAAGAGGAAUCCAGACCACAUAAUGCUGGAAAGCUACAGAGUUAUGAAACAGUUAUGUAUACGGUUUAAAUGAAGAAGCUGUAAGUAUAUGGUAAACAGAUGAACUUGUAUCAUUGAAAUUUACAUAGGUAUUCACUUCUCAAGAUUGCAGGUUAUAUAAUGGUAACUUUUUUAUUCUUACAUAACUUCCUGUAUAUUUCAUAAGUAUCUAGUCCCAGAAGAGUCUGUGUGCUUGGGAACAAUAUCUAUUGUUAGAAU